UAGGGAAUCUUCCACAAUGGACGAAAGUCUGAUGGAGCAACGCCGCGUGAGUGAAGAAGGGUUUCGGCUCGUAAACUCUAUUGUUAAAGAAGAACAUAUCUGAGAGUAACUGUUCAGGUAUUGACGGUAUUUAACCAGAAAGCCACGGCUAACUACGUGCCAG
rnacentral:rRNA from 1 species